rnacentral:ncRNA from 1 species
CAGAGACCAGCGAGAAGCGACUGUUUCGUAAAAACACAGGUCCGUAGCGAAGCCGUAAGGCGAUGUAUACGGACUGACGCCUGCCCGGUGCUGGAACUUAAGGGACCGGUUAGCUCCAUUUCGUGGGGCGAAGCUGAGAACUUAAGCGCCAGUAAACGGCGGUGGUAACUAUAACCAUCCUAAGGUAGCGAAAUUCCUUGUCGGGUAAGUUCCGACCUGCACGAAUGGCGUAACGACUUCUCGACUGUCUCAACCAUAGGCCCGGUGAAAUUGCACUACGAGUAAAGAUGCUCGUUUCGCGCAGCAGGACGGAAAGACCCCGGGACCUUUACUACAGUUUGAUAUUGGUGUUCGGUUCGGCUUGUGUAGGAUAGCUGGG